UACGGGGGGGGCAAGCGUUGUUCGGAAUUACUGGGCUUAAAGGGCGCGUAGGCGGCCAACUAAGUCAGACGUGAAAUCCCCAGGCUCAACCUGGGAACUGCGUCUGAUACUGGAUGGCUUGAAUCCGGGAGAGGGAUGCAGAAUUCCAGGUGUAGCGGUGAAAUGCGUAGAUAUCUGGAGGAAUACCGAUGGCGAAGGCGGCAUCCUGGACCGGCAUUGACGCUGAGGAGCGAAAGCCAGGGGAGCAAACGGG
rnacentral:rRNA from 1 species